UCGAUAUUAUAAAAAAGAAGAUGUGGUAUUAUUGCCAAUGAGACAACUAUCCACAAAAGACCAAAAUGACACAAACAUUAACAACUAUAGGUAACCGUACGGCCUUCAACAAUGAGCAAAGCCCAUACCGCAUAGUCAGCUAUAAAAGGCCCGAUAAGACAAUGUAAAACAAUUCAAACGAGAAAACUAACGGCCUUAUUUAUUAAUAAAAAAAAUGAACGAAAAACAAAUAUGUAACACAUAAACAAACGACAACCACUGAAUUACAAGCUCCUGACUUGGGACAGGCACAUACAUAAAUAAUGUGGCGGG
rnacentral:lncRNA from 1 species